rnacentral:rRNA from 1 species
UACGGGGGGGGCAAGCGUUGUUCGGAAUUACUGGGCGUAAAGGGCUCGUAGGUUGCCAACUAAGUCAGACGUGAAAUCCCUCAGCUUAACUGGGGAACUGCGUCUGAUACUGGCAGGCUUGAAUCCGGGAGAGGGAUGUGGAAUUCCAGGUGUAGCGGUGAAAUGCGUAGAUAUCUGGAGGAACACCGGGUGGCGAAGGCGGCAUCCUGGACCGGUAUUGACGCUGAGG